UACGUAGGGUGCAAGCGUUUGUCCGGAAUUAUUGGGCGUAAAGAGCUCGUAGGCGGUCUGUCGCGUCGGCUGUGAAAACCCGAGGCUCAACCUCGGGCCUGCAGUCGAUACGGGCAGACUAGAGUGUGGUAGGGGAGACUGGAAUUCCUGGUGUAGCGGUGAAAUGCGCAGAUAUCAGGAGGAACACCGGCGGCGAAAGGCGGGGUCUCUGGGGCCAUAACUGACGCUGAGGAAGCGAAAAGCGUGGGGGAGCGAA
rnacentral:rRNA from 1 species